AGAAAAAGAAAGUUUUGUAGCUGUACCUUUUGUAUCAGGGGAAUUUUAAAUCUAAUAAAUUUAAAAAUCGAUUAUAAUGGGUCCUUUUAUAGUUACUAGUAGUUGAAUUUAACGGUUAAAAUUUUUAAGAGGUUAAAAAUGUCCGACAUUUAUGGUAUCUAAUUGUUUUUAAAAAAAGGGGUAAGUUCUUUAUGGUUUAUAAUUUUUUGUAAAUAAGAAAACUAGGCUUUAGAUUAGCCAUGGUAAUAAAUUGUUUUAAAUAAUCUUAAAGCAUAAAAGGGGUAUAAAAUUAAUAAACUACACUAGAUUAUUUUUAUUCUGUAAAAAUAAUGAAUUUAUUGAAUAAUAGACGAGAUUGAAAAACAACUCAUGAAAAGUUAGAUAGUUUAGCAAAAACAUUUCCAUUUGCGUAGAGAAAGGUAUAACCUGCCCGGUGUAAAAUUAACGGCUGCGGUAUAUUGACUGUGCUAAGGUAGCAUAAUAAGUUGCUACUUAAUUAGUAGCUGGAAUGAAAGGUUGAACUGGCUUUUUCAGUUUGUUCGGUAAAUUAAUAAAUUAAAGUUGGGGUAAGAAUUCUUCGAUCUUCUAGGGGACGAUAAGACCCUAGAAGCUUAAUAAAUAUAAUUAUCUAUUAGUUAUAGAAUUAAUUUUAUUUGACUGGGGCGGUAUUAAUAUUUAAACUAUUAUAUAGAGAGUAGUUCCUUUAAAUAAAGAAAAAAUGGGAAAGUUACUCUAGGGAUAACAGUGCAAUAUUUUUGGAGAGGUCUUAUCGAUAAAUGUGUUUGCAACCUCGAUGUUGAAUUAGGAUAUCUACGUGAAGCAGAAAGUACAGUAGAGGGUUUGUUCAACC
rnacentral:rRNA from 1 species